rnacentral:tRNA from 1 species
GGGCGCGUAGCUCAGUUGGUUAGAGCGCCUGCUUCACACGCAGGAGGUCACAGGUUCGAGUCCUGUCGCGCCCACCG